GACAUAUCAAAGUUUAUAUAACGGAGAACUGUGUACAACCGAGCGCAGUGUUAACAAACAGUAAUAAUUUAACUCAAGUUGAUUAUUAAGUGAAGUUCUACAAUCAUAUGUUUCUUUAUGAAAAUUUCAUUGACAUUUACCUAUAUCAGGGGAACCAAAUUUGUCGAAUUCUUAAUCGUGUUAUCAAAAAAUACAAGAUGGAAGACGUGGUUGAAGGUCUGAAAUUAGUUCGCAAUAAAAUCAUCGCUGCAUCUGCUAAACGGGAUCCGGAAUAUGCCUAUUUUGAACCUCGUUUAGUAGCUGUAAGCAAAAUUAAACCUCCAGAGCUGAUUAUUGCGGCUUAUGAGGCUGGUCAAAGACAUUUUGGAGAGAAUUAUGUUAAUGAAUUAAAAGAUAAAGCAUAUGAUUUAUCUAUCACUGAAAAAUGCAAAGAUAUUCGAUGGCAUUUUAUUGGACAUUUACAAAAAAAUAAAGUGAAUAAAAUUAUAUCCAUACCAAAUUUAUAUAUUAUUGAAACAGUUGAUAGCAAAUCGAUUGCAAAUGCACUUGAUAACGCAUACUCAAAAGUAUGUGAUGAUAAUUCAAAAUUGAAUAUUAUGGUACAAGUGAAUACAAGUGAAGAAGAAGCAAAAAAUGGUUGCAAAGUAGAAGAACUAUCAGAACUUGUGCAAUAUAUUCUAGACACCUGUAAGCAAUUGGAAUUUAUUGGUCUUAUGACGAUAGGUGCGUAUGGAUAUGAUCCAUCAAACGGUCCAAAUCCAGAUUUUCUACGUUUGAAGAAAUGUAAAGAAGAUCUAUGCAAAGAUUUAAAUCUUGAUAAAAAAAAGGUGGAACUUUCAAUGGGAAUGUCUACCGAUUAUGAACACGCGAUAUUACUUGGGAGUUCAAAUGUCAGAGUGGGCACUGCUAUAUUUGGUGAAAGGCCGAAGAAGGAUGGUCAAUAAUAUGUAGUAAUACAUCGGGUUUGCCCAUGGUUAAAAAGGUAAAUUUUAAAUCUUCAGAAUCGAUAAUACCAUCGCUAUUAAAAUCAAACAAUUGAAAGGCCUAAAAAUAUCCAGAAUAUGUAUGUAAAUGUUUUAAAAGUGAAGCUAGUUCAAGAGAAAAGUGGUUUAACAUUAUAACAAGUUCAAGCAUUUUUAAUUUCUCUAUCCUAAACUGAACUAUGCAGAAAUAAUUAAAUUUUAAUUAUUACGAUAACACAAAAACUUUAAUAUAUAGUUGAUAAGAUCUAUAAUAACUACUAUUAAUUAAUCUAUAUUAUCAUGCAUUUUCAUACUGUCCAGAAAUUAGCAGGACACGCUCUUUUAUAGAUUUAAGAUAGGCCCCCUCCAUUGGUGCUGGUACCAUCUCCAGUAAAGAUCAGUUUGGAUGUCACAAAAUAUAUUUUCUCGAGAAUAUCGUUUAAUAUGUUGAGAUAUGAUAAUCUUCACUUAUUAUCAAUUAUUAUCGAUAAAAACUUGAAACCACAUUGUUUAUAAAGAGAUUAGAAGAAACAA